UACAGAGGUCUCAAGCGUUGUUCGGAAUCACUGGGCGUAAAGGGCGCGUAGGCGGCUCAUGAAGGCUGUGGUGAAAGUCCGGGGCUCAACCUCGGAUCGGCCGUGGCGACUCGUGGGCUGGAGCACUGUAGAGGCGGGUGGAAUUCCGGGUGUAGCGGUGGAAUGCGUAGAGAUCCGGAAGAACACCAGUGGCGAAGGCGGCCCGCUGGGCAGUGGCUGACGCUGAGGAGCGAAAGCGUGGGGAGCGAACAGG
rnacentral:rRNA from 1 species